AACGAACGCUGGCGGCAGGCUUAACACAUGCAAGUCGAACGGGUGUAGCAAUACAUCAGUGGCAGACGGGUGAGUAACACGUGGGAACCUUCCUAGGGGUACGGAACAACUCAGGGAAACUUGAGCUAAUACCGUAUACGUCCGUAAGGAGAAAGAUUUAUCGCCCUUAGACGGGCCCGCGUCGGAUUAGCUAGUUGGUGGGGUAACGGCCUACCAAGGCGACGAUCCGUAGCUGAUCUGAGAGGAUGAUCAGCCACACUGGGACUGAGACACGGCCCAGACUCCUACGGGAGGCAGCAGUGGGGAAUAUUGGACAAUGGGGAAACCCUGAUCCAGCAAUGCCGCGUGUGUGAAGAAGGCCUGCGGGUUGUAAAGCACUUUUGGCAGGGAAGAAAGCACUGGCCGAAUACGCCAGUGUGUUGACGUAACCUGCAGAAGAAGCACCGGCUAACUCUGUGCCAGCAGCCGCGGUAAGUGACGUCAGA
rnacentral:rRNA from 1 species